rnacentral:rRNA from 1 species
GACGAACGCUGGCGGCGUGCUUAACACAUGCAAGUCGAACGAUGAUCUCCAGCUUGCUGGGGGGAUUAGUGGCGAACGGGUGAGUAACACGUGAGUAACCUGCCCUGGACUCUGGGAUAACCCCGAGAAAUCGGAGCUAAUACCGGAUAGGACCUGGAACCGCAUGGUUUUGGGUGGAAAGUUUUUCGGUCUGGGAUGGA